GAUGAACGCUGGCGGCGUGCCUAAUACAUGCAAGUCGAGCGAACAGACGAGGAGCUUGCUCCUCUGACGUUAGCGGCGGACGGGUGAGUAACACGUGGAUAACCUACCUAUAAGACUGGGAUAACUUCGGGAAACCGGAGCUAAUACCGGAUAAUAUAUUGAACCGCAUGGUUCAAUAGUGAAAGACGGUUCUGCUGUCACUUAUAGAUGGAUCCGCGCCGCAUUAGCUAGUUGGUAAGGUAACGGCUUACCAAGGCAACGAUGCGUAGCCGACCUGAGAGGGUGAUCGGCCACACUGGAACUGAGACACGGUCCAGACUCCUACGGGAGGCAGCAGUAGGGAAUCUUCCGCAAUGGGCGAAAGCCUGACGGAGCAAUGCCGCGUGAGUGAUGAAGGUCUUCGGAUCGUAAAACUCUGUUAUUAGGGAAGAACAAAUGUGUAAGUAACUAUGCACGUCUUGACGGUACCUAAUCAGAAAGCCACGGCUAACUACGUG
rnacentral:rRNA from 1 species